rnacentral:piRNA from 1 species
CAGCUGAUUAGAUGGCACCUACCAGGUU